GGGACACAGCAGGCUCACUCCCGGGGCUCAGGGCGCCCGAGAGGCAGGACCACCAGGCUGAUUCUGCUCCUCCUCCCAUGCUCGUUCCCGUGGGCCUGCCUCUCAGGGAAAAUGUUGCACAUGGGAGAUUCCAGAAUGACAUCAAGGACACCGGGAUAGAAAACCAACAGGACAACAGCAGCUGGGACACCCAAAGAGAUAAAAGCACACAGAAGUCCCAGAGAACCAGAGUGGUAAACACGCAGGUACAUAAGCAGGAUAAAAUAUGCAACAGGCGAAGGCAAAGAGAUGGGGAUUCAUACAGAGGCAGCAGCAGAGGGCUUCUAUGCACACACCCUAGGAUACCCUCAAGUCAGCAGAACAACGUGUGCCACG